UCCCCUGUGGUGUAACGGCAGCACAGUGGCUUUUGGUGCCAUUUGUCCGGGUUCGAAUCCUGGCAGGGGAG
rnacentral:tRNA from 1 species